rnacentral:rRNA from 1 species
GGUUAAGCGACUAAGCGUACACGGUGGAUGCCCUGGCAGUCAGAGGCGAUGAAGGACGUGCUAAUCUGCGAUAAGCGUCGGUAAGGUGAUAUGAACCGUUAUAACCGGCGAUUUCCGAAUGGGGAAACCCAGUGUGAUUCGUCACACUAUCAUUAACUGAAUCCAUAGGUUAAUGAGGCGAACCGGGGGAACUGAAACAUCUAAGUACCCCGAGGAAAAGAAAUCAACCGAGAUUCCCCCAGUAGCGGCGAGCGAACGGGGAGGAGCCCAGAGCCUGAAUCAGUGUGUGUGUUAGUGGAAGCGUCUGGAAAGGCGCGCGAUACAGGGUGACAGCCCCGUACACAAAAAUGCACAUGCUGUGAGCUCGAUGAGUAGGGCGGGACACGUGGUAUCCUGUCUGAAUAUGGGGGGACCAUCCUCCAAGGCUAAAUACUCCUGACUGACCGAUAGUGAACCAGUACCGUGAGGGAAAGGCGAAAAGAACCCCGGCGAGGGGAGUGAAAAAGAACCUGAAACCGUGUACGUACAAGCAGUGGGAGCCUCUUAAUGGGGUGACUGCGUACCUUUUGUAUAAUGGGUCAGCGACUUAUAUUCUGUAGCAAGGUUAACCGAAUAGGGGAGCCGAAGGGAAACCGAGUCUUAACUGGGCGUUAAGUUGCAGGGUAUAGACCCGAAACCCGGUGAUCUAGCCAUGGGCAGGUUGAAGGUUGGGUAACACUAACUGGAGGACCGAACCGACUAAUGUUGAAAAAUUAGCGGAUGACUUGUGGCUGGGGGUGAAAGGCCAAUCAAACCGGGAGAUAGCUGGUUCUCCCCGAAAGCUAUUUAGGUAGCGCCUCGUGAAUUCAUCUCCGGGGGUAGAGCACUGUUUCGGCAAGGGGGUCAUCCCGACUUACCAACCCGAUGCAAACUGCGAAUACCGGAGAAUGUUAUCACGGGAGACACACGGCGGGUGCUAACGUCCGUCGUGAAGAGGGAAACAACCCAGACCGCCAGCUAAGGUCCCAAAGUCAUGGUUAAGUGGGAAACGAUGUGGGAAGGCCCAGACAGCCAGGAUGUUGGCUUAGAAGCAGCCAUCAUUUAAAGAAAGCGUAAUAGCUCACUGGUCGAGUCGGCCUGCGCGGAAGAUGUAACGGGGCUAAACCAUGCACCGAAGCUGCGGCAGCGACACUAUGUGUUGUUGGGUAGGGGAGCGUUCUGUAAGCCUGUGAAGGUGGCCUGUGAGGGUUGCUGGAGGUAUCAGAAGUGCGAAUGCUGACAUAAGUAACGAUAAAGCGGGUGAAAAGCCCGCUCGCCGGAAGACCAAGGGUUCCUGUCCAACGUUAAUCGGGGCAGGGUGAGUCGACCCCUAAGGCGAGGCCGAAAGGCGUAGUCGAUGGGAAACAGGUUAAUAUUCCUGUACUUGGUGUUACUGCGAAGGGGGGACGGAGAAGGCUAUGUUGGCCGGGCGACGGUUGUCCCGGUUUAAGCGUGUAGGCUGGUUUUCCAGGCAAAUCCGGAAAACCAAGGCUGAGGCGUGAUGACGAGGCACUACGGUGCUGAAGUGACAAAUGCCCUGCUUCCAGGAAAAGCCUCUAAGCAUCAGGUAACAUCAAAUCGUACCCCAAACCGACACAGGUGGUCAGGUAGAGAAUACCAAGGCGCUUGAGAGAACUCGGGUGAAGGAACUAGGCAAAAUGGUGCCGUAACUUCGGGAGAAGGCACGCUGAUAUGUAGGUGAAGCGACUUGCUCGUGGAGCUGAAAUCAGUCGAAGAUACCAGCUGGCUGCAACUGUUUAUUAAAAACACAGCACUGUGCAAACACGAAAGUGGACGUAUACGGUGUGACGCCUGCCCGGUGCCGGAAGGUUAAUUGAUGGGGUUAGCGGUAACGCGAAGCUCUUGAUCGAAGCCCCGGUAAACGGCGGCCGUAACUAUAACGGUCCUAAGGUAGCGAAAUUCCUUGUCGGGUAAGUUCCGACCUGCACGAAUGGCGUAAUGAUGGCCAGGCUGUCUCCACCCGAGACUCAGUGAAAUUGAACUCGCUGUGAAGAUGCAGUGUACCCGCGGCAAGACGGAAAGACCCCGUGAACCUUUACUAUAGCUUGACACUGAACAUUGAGCCUUGAUGUGUAGGAUAGGUGGGAGGCUUUGAAGUGUGGACGCCAGUCUGCAUGGAGCCGACCUUGAAAUACCACCCUUUAAUGUUUGAUGUUCUAACGUUGGCCCCUAAUCGGGGUUGCGGACAGUGUCUGGUGGGUAGUUUGACUGGGGCGGUCUCCUCCUAAAGAGUAACGGAGGAGCACGAAGGUUGGCUAAUCCUGGUCGGACAUCAGGAGGUUAGUGCAAUGGCAUAAGCCAGCUUGACUGCGAGCGUGACGGCGCGAGCAGGUGCGAAAGCAGGUCAUAGUGAUCCGGUGGUUCUGAAUGGAAGGGCCAUCGCUCAACGGAUAAAAGGUACUCCGGGGAUAACAGGCUGAUACCGCCCAAGAGUUCAUAUCGACGGCGGUGUUUGGCACCUCGAUGUCGGCUCAUCACAUCCUGGGGCUGAAGUAGGUCCCAAGGGUAUGGCUGUUCGCCAUUUAAAGUGGUACGCGAGCUGGGUUUAGAACGUCGUGAGACAGUUCGGUCCCUAUCUGCCGUGGGCGCUGGAGAACUGAGGGGGCUGCUCCUAGUACGAGAGGACCGGAGUGGACGCAUCACUGGUGUUCGGGUUGUCAUGCCAAUGGCACUGCCCGGUAGCUAAAUGCGGAAGAGAUAAGUGCUGAAAGCAUCUAAGCACGAAACUUGCCCCGAGAUGAGUUCUCCCUGAGACUUAGAGUCUCCUGAAGGAACGUUGAAGACGACGACGUUGAUAGGCCGGGUGUGUAAGCGCAGCGAUGCGUUGAGCUAACCGGUACUAAUGAACCGUGAGGCUUAACCUU